CGCGUAGGCGGCGGGAGAAGUCGAGUGUGAAAGCCCCGGGCUCAACCUGGGAAUUGCGCUCGAUACUCUAGCGCUUGAGUUCGGGAGAGGAGCGUGGAAUUCCCAGUGUAGAGGUGAAAUUCGUAGAUAUUGGGAAGAACACCGGUGGCGAAGGCGGCGCUCUGGACCGAGACUGACGCUGAGGCGCGAAAGCGUGGGGAGCAAACA
rnacentral:rRNA from 1 species